UUAAAAUUGUUGCAGUUAAAAAGCUCGUAGUUGAAUUUCUGCUGCUCCGCAUUUUCCCUUUGAGGGGUUUUUGCGCUGUGGCUUAUUUCGGACUGUGUUUUGCACUGUCCGGAUGUUUACUUUGAGAAAAUUAGAGUGCUCAAAGCAGGCUUUUGCCUUGAAUAGUUUAGCAUGGAAUAAUAAAGUAGGACUUUGGUUCUAUUUUGUUGGUUUUAGGUACCAAAGUAAUGGUUAAUAGGAACAGUKGGGGGCAUUCGUAUUUAACUGUCAGAG
rnacentral:rRNA from 1 species